rnacentral:lncRNA from 1 species
GUUUAGUGUAGUAAGCGACGUACACUCAAGCUGAGACAACACUAUUUGAUAUGUCAGUAGGUGAAGCUACAAUGCUACGCGAUAUAACCUCAGUGCUACUUGGUGGUUCAAAAGGCCUGCCUCCGACACUCGCGUUCCUCUUCAAGCUGGCAUGGGCCUCGCGAGUACGUCUACCCUUACUCAUCGCAAUCGGAUUCAUGGUAACCAACAUUCACCUGCGGCUGGAAAUCAACGUAAAUAUAGAGGUUGGCGAAGACGACCCUCCCCCUCCACUCGACCAGCAGCAGCAGUUGCAGUUGGCUCAUGAUUAGGAUCGGUGGCCUCGGCGUUCGGUGUGUGUAUGUGUGUGUACCUGUCUGGCUUCCUGUAUUUUAAUUGCGUUUCAUGAUGAUGAUGAUGAUGACGAUGAGUGUCUUUGUCUUUGUGCGGUAUUUGGCAUUUUUAUAUUUUUUUCUUUUAGGAAAAGGAUUCAAAUUUAAUAUUUAUAAUGAUCUUGAUUAGAUGAUUUAGGUUAUUGACAUGCUAGUUUCAUAAAGUGCAAGUGUGUAUAUAUGAAAAUACUAAUUGGAUAUGUAGUUUUUUAAGUUGAAGGAUUUUUUUCUUUUUUUAUUGAAACCAGGGAAUACAUUGAUAUAUAUUUUUUCUUUUUUUUAAUGCAUGUGUGUUUAUGUGUGAAAGUGUGAGUGUAUACAGAAGCCACAUUUGAAUUUUCUUUCUAUUCUGAUCUUUAAGUACUUAUGUUACACUUCGUAUUUUGUGGAUUUAUUAAGUCAAGAUCUCAUAAGAUUUAUAAACUUUAUUUCUCUAGCCAUUUUUACAAAACGAAAUGGUUAUGAAUUCAUUAACUGUAUUUUAAGUAAGGGUGCUUGCCAUUCUGUAGUAUUGUCCUGUUCCCAUUGUAUUGGAAUGUGUGAAUAUUGAUUAUCAUGGAAAUAAUUUCGUAGAAUACAUUUUUUUCUAUAUCUACUUAGUGGACUUCAUGCUUAUUUCAAAUCUAAUUAAAAUUUACAUGAAGUAUUGAGUAUCUCUUGUGUAGAGAGAGAGAGAAAAAAAAAAUUACGAGAUGGUUUCCGUAAAAAUUUUUAUAAUUGAUGUUAUGAGUAUCCCAGUUGUAUGCUUAAUACAAAUGGGUUAUAUAUAUCAAAUGUAUGGCUGUGACCUAUCCCAGUUGCUUUAGAACACCUGUCUCGAAAAGGUAUGAAGUCUGGACGACAGAUAUGCAAAAUUGAGCUCAGUAAAGUAUGUGCUGUCUUUAGUUACUCUGUUACUUUGUGUAUCAAUAUAUUCAGUUCCUUUUAUUUGAUAAGAAAGUCGUGUGAAUUGUAGACAGCUGUGCAUAUCCUUUACAGUUAAUAAGUGUGGGUACUAUUCUGAACAUUAUAUAAAUCACUUUGUAAACAUGUAUUUAUAUAUACACAUGCAUGUACAUCAAUAUAUUAGCUAAUCUAUAUCUUAAUACAUAUAUAAAGUUUUAUCAAUUUUAUGUAUUUGGUUUUAGUAUUUUUCAUUACUUAUUAUGACAAUGAUUAAUGAAGUUAUUUUUUAAAUUUGGUUAUGUCAGUUUAUUUUAUUUUUGUUUUCCUUAUUUCAGAUAUAGUUAUUACUAAUGCUAUCAUGGUUAUAGCCAUAAAUAUGCACCAUCAUUCAUUUUAGUAGGAUAGCUUGUAUCAGGCCAACCACAUGUGUAAUUAAGUUGAUUACACAUGUAAAUUAAUCCACUUUUAAUUUUAUUUUCACAUUUUCAUGAUUUUUAUGUGUAGUAACAUAGAUUUUGAGUCUAGUUUCUUAUUAUUAUAAACACUACAUGACUAUUUAUUUAUUUACAUAAUAAUGAUAAACAUGAAAUAGAUAAUUAAUUAGAUAAUUGCAACCUCUCAUUGCAUAUUAUCCAUUUACUGUGACCAAAUCAAAGGCAUAUUUUCACUAUAAUGAGUUUUUGAAGUCUAGAUCCUCAUACAGAAUGCUCUAUAGGAAGAGUCCUUAUCAUGUACUGUCUCUUUGAACAUAAUAAUCUUUAGCUUACGAUACUGUACUACCAAAGUUACAUUAUUCCUCUUUUUCACGUGCUGCCUUAAAUGAACAGCUGACUGACUGUUCAUAUACUUACUCUUAGACUUUCUUCUCGAGCUGUAAAGACCUCUGAAUAUUGAUAUGUUUUUUUGUGAGAUUUCAUGCCUUGAUUUUAAAUAUAUUUUGUGGAAAUUGA